rnacentral:rRNA from 1 species
UCUGUAACUGACGCUGAGGCUCGAAAGCGUGGGGAGCGAACAGGAUUAGAUACCCUGGUAGUCCACGCCGUAAACGAUGAGUGCUAAGUGUUGGAGGGUUUCCGCCCUUCAGUGCUGCAGCAAACGCAUUAAGCACUCCGCCUGGGGAGUACGACCGCAAGGUUGAAACUCAAAGGAAUUGACGGGGGCCCGCACAAGCGGUGGAGCAUGUGGUUUAAUUCGAAGCAACGCGAAGAACCUUACCAGGUCUUGACAUCCUUUGACCACUCUAGAGAUAGAGCUUCCCCUUCGGGGGCAAAGUGACAGGUGGUGCAUGGUUGUCGUCAGCUCGUGUCGUGAGAUGUUGGGUUAAGUCCCGCAACGAGCGCAACCCUUAUUGUUAGUUGCCAUCAUUUAGUUGGGCACUCUAGCGAGACUGCCGGUGACAAACCGGAGGAAGGUGGGGAUGACGUCAAAUCAUCAUGCCCCUUAUGACCUGGGCUACACACGUGCUACAAUGGGAAGUACAACGAGUUGCGAAGUCGCGAGGCUAAGCUAAUCUCUUAAAGCUUCUCUCAGUUCGGAUUGUAGGCUGCAACUCGCCUACAUGAAGCCGGAAUCGCUAGUAAUCGCGGAUCAGCACGCCGCGGUGAAUACGUUCCCGGGCCUUGUACACACCGCCCGUCACACCACGAGAGUUUGUAACACCCGAAGUCGGUG